AAAACACUUGUAUGGAAGCAGGUAGUAGGCUGGAUAAGAGUCAUGCUCAUAGUUUGUCAGCUUCUGGUUUAAAUCGACAGGACCUACAAGUGUGAAUUAAUAGAACUGUGGAUGAAGGCAUUCCUUGAAAGUGGUGGCCUCUGGAAAACUGUAAAGUUCAUCAUGUGGCUCCAACCAUUUACCACGUGCAGAUCUUGAAACACACAGCAGACAUCUGUGACGUUUCUCAGUUUAGGAGGAUCUAA
rnacentral:lncRNA from 1 species